rnacentral:rRNA from 1 species
GACGAACGCUGGCGGCGUGCUUAACACAUGCAAGUCGAGCGGAAAGGCCCUUUCGGGGGUACUCGAGCGGCGAACGGGUGAGUAACACGUGAGUAAUCUGCCCUUGGCUUUGGGAUAACUACCGGAAGCGGUGGCUAAUACCGGAUAUGACCAUGCUCGGCAUCGGGUGUGGUGGAAAGUUUUUCGGCCAGGGAUGUGCUCGCGGCCUAUCAGCUUGUUGGUGGGGUAAUGGCCUACCAAGGCUUCGACGGGUAGCCGGCCUGAGAGGGUGACCGGCCACACUGGGACUGAGACACGGCCCAGACUCCUACGGGAGGCAGCAGUGGGGAAUAUUGGACAAUGGGCGGAAGCCUGAUCCAGCAACGCCGCGUGAGGGAUGACGGCCUCGGUU